AUACGUAGGGUGCGAGCGUUGACCGGAAUUACUGGGCGUAAAGAGCUCGUAGGUGGUUUGUCGCGUCGUCUGUGAAAUUCCGGGGCUUAACUCCGGGCGUGCAGGCGAUACGGGCAUAACUUGAGUACUGUAGGGGAGACUGGAAUUCCUGGUGUAGCGGUGAAAUGCGCAGAUAUCAGGAGGAACACCGGUGGCGAAGGCGGGUCUCUGGGCAGUAACUGACGCUGAGGAGCGAAAGCAUGGGUAGCGAACAGGAUUAGAUACCCUGGUAGUCCAUGCCGUAAACGGUGGGCGCUAGGUGUAGGGGUCUUCCACGACUUCUGUGCCGUAGCUAACGCAUUAAGCGCCCCGCCUGGGGAGUACGGCCGCAAGGCUAAAACUCAAAUGAAUUGACGGGG
rnacentral:rRNA from 1 species